AUGGAGAGAAGGAGACAACCAGAGACAGCCACAGGUCCAUUCGGUUUCUGCCACCUCCCUGCUGUGUGUUCUGGUCCCCUGGCUGUGAUGGAGGCUGGGGACAGGGAGAGGCCAAGGCAGCUCCAAGGCGAUCCUGGUGUGGACAUGGAGACUCCCGACCCCCGGAGAGAGAAAGGCCAGGAUGUAGGCAGUUCUGCCUCCUCUUCCCAAGACAGAACUGGUGUCUCCCCCUCCUGCCCUGCAUCUCCCUCCAGGUUACAGAGAGCAGAGGCAGCAGGGAGAGGGUGGGGGGCUGGCGCUAAGGGCCAGUCCAAGAGGCUCUCUGUGCCUCCCUUCCCCGUCUCCCCCCACCCCCCAGCAGCCUACUCAGCAAUGUGGAUAACCCCAGGCCCAGCAGGAGCCCCUGACCCAGCCGCAGCAGCCUCCCACCCAGCAUCCUGGCAGCUGCCCUGGCCGCCCGUGGGACCCGCCUGGCGCCGCAGGGAUCAGGCCAGCUGAGGGUUCCGGGCAUGGGUGGAGGGCUCUGCCCAGGGCGGGGAGCCGAGAAACGUGGUGUGGCGAUGGAGACCGGCAAAACCCAGGAGGAAGAGAGCUCCCCGCCCGCUGCCCGCCCCGCAGCUCCCGGCUCAGGCUCUUGGAAGGGCUCCUGGGCACGGCAGGCUGGGGGAGGCCAGGAGAUAAGGGUGCAAGGGCGGGGGAACACAGCCGCUCUGCCCGGCGGCUCCUCACCCCAGCUCAGCUCCAGGCCCUACCGUGUGCCUGGCUCCCGAGGAGGAGAGACCCUGCUGAACCUGGGGGGUGGGGGGGGGGAGAGGAAGUGGAACCCCCCCGGGGGGGGGCUGCUGACCACAGUGCCUUUGGGCGAACUUGCUUCUUCAAGACUCGGCUUGCACCCCUGCAGAGCAGAUGGUUUAGGAAGUCAGGAGUAUCCUUGCCAGUCUAGCCUGGAACCCUCCCCUCUUGAACUUCCCAGGGUCAGGGUAGGAGGCAGAACUUGGCCCUGAGUUGCAAGCUAGCGGCCCACAGGGGCAGGAGACCCCCAAAGGGAAAAUCUGCUGAGAAGGAGAGAACGGGAAAUGUCCCCAGGCUCAGCCCAAUCUGGGCUCCCGCAGCUCAAGCAGGCUUGGGGUGCACAGGGACAGGCUGGCUCAAAGGAGGGGCCCCCUCCUGUCUCCAGGAUGGAGGAGGGAGUGCGGCGAGAGGUCCCGUAACUGGGUUGGAAUUCACUGCCUCAGCCCAGAGUGACAGGAGCUUAGAAUCAAAGGGAAGCGCUCCCAAGCAGCCACCCAGAGAGCCGGCCAGGCGCGGAGACAGGGCUCCUAACCCCUGUUUAUACACAAGGAUCAGAAUAAACCCCAGCGAAGAUGCGGUUGCA
rnacentral:lncRNA from 1 species